GGAUUACCAAGCAGGAUGACCAUAAUCCAAAAAAUGAACCAAAAAUAGAAGCUCAGGACCAAACAUCUGUCGAAACCAACCUUCCUGAUUCUGUCAAUUUGCGUCAACAGAUUAAUAUCCAAAAGUCAAAGAAUGAAUAUCUGAACAUUAAUAGCUGUAUCAAAACAGACAAUACAUUAGUGUUUACCGACUACAGGAAUGAGCGACUUAUUAUUUGUAAUUCAGACGGUACUGAUAUCCAUCACAAUCCUCUGUCCUAUAAACCAAUAUAUAUGACAGUGGUAAAUAUUAAUACUGUAGCAGUAUCCUGUAUAGAUGACAAUAUCAUACUGAUAAUAAAUAUAUCUACAGGUUCUGUCACCAGUACAAUCAACACCAGUCGUUACUGCUACGGAAUAUCAUAUAAUGAUAAUAACCUGUACGUUGUUAUUGAUAGGAGUAUAAUACAUGUGAUGGACCUGACAGGUAAAGUAAUACGUACUAUACCUUUACCUUCAGACCCUAUCUACGACAUUACAGUAGACAGAGACAGGUUGGUUUGUAUAGACCAUACAUCAUUAUACUGCUGCUCGUUAGAUGGAAAACUAAUUUGGAAGUUUAAAAAGGAUGAAUUUCAAGAUUUACGUUGGGUGACAACAGAUGAUGAGGGGAAUGUUUUUGUGACUAGUUAUCUCACCAACUCUGUACUAGUUAUAUCUGACGAUGGUAAACAUCAUAGAGAACUUCUUACUAAAUCAGAUGGAUUGAACAAGUCGUGGGGAAUUUAUUUUGACAAACAAGAAAAUAUUCUGCUUGUUUUUAAUCAUUAUGACGGAAAGGUUUUUCUUUUUGACGUGAAAAGGAAACCAACAUAAAUAAACAUGAAUAAUUCUUUCAGACAAUGAGUUUAUUCGGACUCGGGUCUGUUUUUGCAUUUUGUCAUUCAAAAUAACUUUUCUUUAUUUUCUAUACUAUCAAUUACUGAUUGUCAUGAUCUGUACAGUUGUAUUCUGUAUUCAAAGUAAGGACAAUAUUAACAAUUUUAUUAUGUUCAUGUUUUUUGUGAUUAACUCUUUUUAUUUAAAUGUGUGACAACACAUCAACUUUAAAUUGAAAUUUAGAGAAAUGUUACAAAGACAUGUUGUGACAACACAUCAACUUUAUAUUGAAAUUUGGAGAAAUGUUACAAAGACAUGUUGUGACAACACAUCAACUUUAUAUUGAAAUUUAGAGAAAUGUUACAAAGACAUGUUGUGACAACACAUCAACUUUAUAUUGAAAUUUAGAGAAAUGUUACAAAGACAUGUUGUGACAACACAUCAACUUUAUAUUGAAAUUUAGAGAAAUGUUACAAAGACAUGUUGUUCUUUGAUUCACGUCAAUUUAGGGUUUGAUAGUUGGAGAAAAAAAUUAUAAUGCAAGUUAUAUAUCAUCACAUCUUUCAAAACCGCAUAUAAAUUGUUUAAGAGGAAAUUCGUAGUUAUUUUUGUUGUUGGAAAUACAGACAUUCUCUUUACGGAUGUGUAGGUUGUAAAUAUAAUCUUUACAAAUUUAAAAUUGUAUUUUUUCGUUGGGAUGCUGUCUUUUUCCUUCAUUUGCCAAUCCAUCUGCUUUUUUUAACCCGGUAGUCUUACAUGUACAUUUUAAAUACAAUUAAUUCAGAUAUAUACAUCGUUUAUUUGUUCUCAUCCUGAACAUGUAUAAUAUAUUUGCCACUGUACGAUACACAACCAACAGAUAAACCAAUUAAUUAUUUUAUUCAUACCAAACUAUAUCACAUUUUUUAAGUUUAUCAAUGUGUUUAUUUCUUAAUUUGAUGACAGUUUUUUUUUGGUUUAAAUUGAUGUUAAUCGAGUACAAAUAACAUAUGGUCUAACACCAUACAGACUGAUAUGACUGUGUUCCAAUAACUGUGUAUCCUACAUCAAGUUAAAUUUCCAUUGAAAACAAAAUUACGGAAAGAUUAUGAUUAAUUUUGAAAAUGUAACUUGGAUCAUCUAGGCUGUUGUAUUUGAAUAAUGUGGUUCGAAUAUUAUGUUUUCUGCAUUUUUAAAACAUGUGAACAUUCAAUUGUUCUAUAUAAUUCAAUAUGGAAAAUCAAAAAAAAAUUCCGAGUAAUAAACAAUGUCAUAAAUGUACAUGCUCUUUAUCUUUUAUAUAUAAUUCACACUUUUAUGAGAAGGAUGUUAUCCAGAAAAAUGUUAUCAGGCGUUUUCAUCUAGAUAAAAAAAUCUUACUUAAUCAAAUGUAUUGAAUUCGCCGUUUGGAAUUAAUUUUAUCAUGCAAGAAAAUAUUCUGCUUGUUUGUAAUAGAGAUAACGGAAAUCUUUUUUUUUUUACGUGAUAAAGAAACUUGCAUAAAUGAACUUAAAUUAUUUCAUUCGAAUUCGGAUGUGUUUUUGCAUUGAGUCAUUCUAAAUGGAUUUUAUUUGUUUGUGUGCUAUCUACCAAAUACAAAUUCAAUUUAACCAAUUAUGAUUCAUUUUACAAAAUUACUAUCUUGCUUUCUUAUAAGUUAUUCCGUAUUCCGAUUUUAUUUAAGUAUAUUUUUAUGUGUAUGCGUUAUAUUAUCACCGCUUAAAUUGUAUGUACGACAACAAAACAAUUAUGUUUAUGAAAUGGUAGAGAAAUUUUGCUUAGACCCAAAAAUUGUUGUUCUUUCUUUACUUCUAUUUGACGGUUAGGUUGUGAUGGUUGGUGAAAACUCACAAUAUAUUUCAGAGCAGCUUUUGGAAACCGACAAAAGUAGUUUCAUGUACAUACUAUUAACUUGACUCGUUUAGAACUUUUUUAUGUGUUGUAUGCUUCUUGUGAACAUACAAUGUUCGCAUUUUAUCCCGUCGGGGUUUGAUUUUUGCAAUAAAGAUUAUUAUUUAAAUUUUAA